GGAAGUAAAAGUCGUAACAAGGUCUCCGUUGGUGAACCAGCGGAGGGAUCAUUACCGAGUUAUACAACUCCCAAACCCACUGUGAACCUUACCUCUACGUUGCUUCGGCGGGACCGCCCCGGGACACCUGUGCCCCGGAUCCAGGCGCCCGCCGGAGGCCCCAAAACUCUCAUGUUUACCACAGCGGAAUUUCUUCUGAGUGGCCCUUUGCGGCAAACAAAUGAAUCAAAACUUUCAACAACGGAUCUCUUGGUUCUGGCAUCGAUGAAGAACGCAGCGAAAUGCGAUAAGUAAUGUGAAUUGCAGAAUUCAGUGAAUCAUCGAAUCUUUGAACGCACAUUGCGCCCGCCAGUAUUCUGGCGGGCAUGCCUGUUCGAGCGUCAUUUCAACCCUCGAGCCCCCCCGGGGGCCCGGUGUUGGGGGACGGCCCCGCCCCUUCCAGUGGGUGGUCGGCCGCCCCCGAAAUGCAGUGGCGACCCCGCCGCAGCCUCCCCUGCGUAGUAGCUAUCAUUGAAACCUCGCACCGGAGCGCGGCGCGGCUCUGCCGUUAAACCCCAACUCUUUGAAAGGUUGACCUCGGAUCAGGUAGGAAUACCCGCUGAACUUAAGCAUAUCAAUAAGCGGAGGA
rnacentral:rRNA from 1 species